rnacentral:rRNA from 1 species
CCUACGGGAGGCAGCAGUGGGGAAUAUUGCACAAUGGGGGCAACCCUGAUGCAGCGACGCCGCGUGAAGGAUGAAGUAUCUCGGUAUGUUAACCUCUAUCAGCAGGGAAGAAAAUGCCGGUACCUGACUCAGACGCAACGGCUAACUACGUGCAAGCAGCCGCGGUAAUACGUAGGGGGCAAGCGUUAUCCGGAUUUGCUGGGUGUAAAGGGAGCGUAGACGGCUUGGCAAGUCGGAUGUGAAUACCCGGGGCUCAACCUCGGGACUACAGUGGAAACUGUCAGGCUAGAGUGGCGGAGAGGCAAGUGGAAUUCCUAGUGUAGCGGUGAAAUGCGUAGAUAUUAGGAGGAACACCAGGGGCGAAGGCGGCUUGCUGGACGAUGACUGACGUUGAGGCACGAAAGCGUGGGGAGCAAACAGGAUUAGAUACCCCAGUAGUC